rnacentral:lncRNA from 1 species
AAACAUACCUGAGCAUAGAGAAAAAUAGCACUCCUAAUAUGGCUGGUAAGGGAAUACAUUUUUACUGUUUUAUUUUUCAGCUUCUGUAAGAAAGGAAUUUACAGUUCCCACACAGAUGGCUACAGUGCUAUACCUCCACAGAUGUGCAUAAGAAGAAAGAGGGCCUGAGUGAGCAUGAAGUUGACUGAGCACUGGCACAGGUUGUCCAGAGGCUGUGGAGUCUUCAGAAGAUCUUCAAAAGCCAUUUCAAAGAUCUGCAAAAGCUGCCUGGAUUUGGUCCAGACCCCCUGCUCUGGGUGUCCCUGCUGGAGCAGGGGUUGGACCGGAUGGAUCCAGAGGUCCCUGCCCACCUCAACCUUUGUGUGACCUGAGCCCACUUAUCAGUGGUGACAUGAUGAAUUCUUCUGUGGUUGGUGUACUGAAUGAGAUAAUGUAAAACUGCUGCAGGAGUGUCUUUGUUCUACUCAUGAAGAUCCUUUAGCUUGAACCAAAUGUGCAACUAAAGUAGGGCCAUUAGAGACUCUCCAAUUAACAAGCUUCACCCAUAAUCCAAGGCAAAAACCAUGAAUAAAAAAAAAAACAAAACACUUAAAUCUCCAUGGUGUUUCUAUUUACUUGUCUAUUUGGAGGCUGGAAGUGUUCUGCCUGUGAUCAAGGAUUGCCUGUGUUUGAAUUAAAGAUGUAGAACUGUAGCAGUUAUUAAACAGACUGUGUGCUGAUUAUUGACAAAUGACAUUUUGUUAGCAUAAAAACAUGUCUUUUAUGAGAGAUGCUGAAUCAAGAUGACUCAAGAGAAUAAAGUAGGCCACUUCACAGAUAGCUCAGCCAAGACUUUUCAGCUCAAUUUGAAGUCAAGAUCGGAAACACAAACAUAGUUAACCAGCUUUUUUUUUUUUUUUUUUUUAACAAAACCCACAUGGAGAUCAGUACAGUAUUCUGUAAAUCAGGAAUAUCCUUGUCUGUAAUUAAUAUGCAGUGAAGAUUACUGCCUUUUGAAGAAAGAAUUUUGAGGAGCCACUCAAGUCAUACUGCUAGUGCUCAAGAAACUUGGAAAUAGGCCAUUCCUGAUAGAAGAUGGAUGUGAUAAAAGUGUACAAAGUAACAAAUAAAAUCAAGAUUAGAGAAAAUACUAUUUCACCCAACCUGUAAUUCUGUAAUUAGCUUUUGGACUCACUGCUAUGAAGAGUCAAGAGCAAGACUGUAAUUAGAUUCCAAAUGGGAUUGGAAAUGUAUAUUGCUGUAAUUAAUUAUAACUCUGGAUGUAUUUCUGUAAGUAUUCCUUUUUUUUUUUUUUUUUUUUCCCAGCAAUAUUAAAUCUUAGUCUUCCCCCUGGAGGGACUGUGUUUUUACAGGAACGCCAAAGAACACGUGAGCAGGAUACAGCCCUUAGGUAGUCUGCAAUGCACGAAUGACACUCCUGAGGGAGAAACAAAGGUGCCGUUAUGGCACUGAGCGGUAGGGCAGCAAGGUGCUGGGUGGUCUGUGUGUGUGGAAGACUGACACAAUAAUAACUUAGACUAAUACUCAAACAUACAGUCACGGACACCAGAUGGUCGCCAGCUGGGAUACAAGUCUCCUCAUUUCAGAAAUUGUACAUCCCUUGUAAAAUAUCUUUAUCACUAUCAGCUUAAACUUUACUUUAACAGUCUGCUGUGUUGGCUGAGUUUAACAGUACACUAAACAUGGUAAUUACGGAUACUGAGGGAAAUUUUAAGUUGCAACUGGA